AUGCUCCGGCCGGGGUGCCGGGAGGGGCCUGGGGCUUGGGCUGGGGCCUGCUGCGGCCUGCUGCGUCCUGCUGCGGCCUCCUGCGUCCUGCUGCAGCCUCCUGCAUCCUCCUGCGUCCUGCUAUGGCCUCCUGCGUCCUGCUGUGGCCUCCUGCGGCCUCCUGCAUCCUGCUGUGGCCUCCUGCGUCCUGCUGUGGCCUCCUGCGGGCUCCUGUGUCCUGCUUCGUCCUGCUGCGUCCUGCUGCGGCCUCCUGCGUCCUGCUGGGGCCUCCUGCGGCCUCCUGCAUCCUGCUGCGGGCUCCUGUGUCCUGCUGCGUCCUGCUGCAGCCUCCUGUGGCCUCCUGCAUCCUGCUGUGGCCUCCUGCGGCCUCCUGCGUCCUGCUGUGGCCUCCUGCGGCCUCCUGCAUCCUGCUGUGGCCUCCUGCGUCCUGCUGUCGCUCCUGCUGUGGCCUCCUGCGGCCUCCUGCAUCCUGCUGCGGGCUCCUGCGUCCUGCUGCGGCCUCCUGCAUCCUCCUGCGUCCUGCUGUGGCCUCCUGCGGCCUCCUGCGGCCUCCUGCGUCCUGCUGCCGGCGGCCCGGGCACAGGCCUGGCUGACCGGGGGGCCGCGCGACGGAAGGACAAAGGAGGGCGGCGGAGGCGGCCCGAGAGUGGAGGCCGAGCGGCGGGCAGCAGAGCCGCGCACAGGCCCGGGGCCCCCGAGGAGUCGCACCCGACGGUGGGCAGAGGAGCCCAGCUCAGAAGGCCGCGGGGAGCCGAGGCGGGGCCGGCGGGCACAGGACGGCCGCCCCGCCACGGUCCGCGGGAAGCCGAGGAUCCCCAGGAUCUCGCGGCGACGCAAGCCCUUGGCGGCGGAUGGACUCCGCACGCGGCACCUCCCGGGACGCGGCGCCCACGGGCGGCUCCACCCCGCCCCCCCAGAGGGGCCCCGGGGGUGUGGAGGGUUAGUUGGUCGUGGGCGGGGAAGGGGGAGCGAGGGCAGAGCGGAGGGGACCCCGCGGCCCAGUGCAGGCGGCGGCAGGCGGCAGGGAAGGCCCGGGGCUCCACGGCGGCCGCGAGCGCCUGGUUAUUCAUCACCCCCAGAUCCCACUUUACAAACAGCCCCUGA
rnacentral:lncRNA from 1 species